UUAAAAAGCUCGUAGUUGAACCUUGGGCCUGGCUGGCCGGUCCGCCUCACCGUGUGCACUGGUUCGGCCGGGCCUUUCCCUCUGGGGAACCUCAUGCCCUUCACUGGGUGUGAUGGGGAACCAGGACUUUUACUGUGAAAAAAUUAGAGUGUUCAAAGCAGGCCUAUGCUCGAAUACAUUAGCAUGGAAUGAUAGAAUAGGACGUGUGGUUCUAUUUUGUUGGUUUCUAGGACCGCCGUAAUGAUUAAUAGGGACAGUCGGGGG
rnacentral:rRNA from 1 species